CUCAUAUUCAUAUUAUUGCUUGUCACGAUACCAUACACUCGUAAUUUAUUCAAACAUUUGACAUUAGCAAUACUGCUUUAGUUAUUUUACAAGUUAACUGCUGCUAUAGGAGUCCAAUCACAUGGCUUUUUUAGUAAGAUUAUAUUCAUAUAUCACGAAAUCCAGCAACAUCUUGGGGUUAUCUGGCGUGAGCGUGGUGAUCCACACCGUCCCUGCACACAUGGCAUUGGGUACGGGCUUGGACUUGGAAUCGGGCUCGGACGCCUCCAGGAUUAUACAGUACAUGGACCCUGCAACCACGUUUCGCUGUUUCGCACAGAUUACCUUCUCAUAUUUCAGAACCGGUUGAUGCUGCAGUCAUAAGGGAAGAAAAAUAAAUGAGAUUUCAGAAUCAAUUCCAAAAUUUCAUACGGCCAUGAAAAUCGCAGGCAAUUGUAAUUAAUAAGAUUCAAAAAAUAAUCGUAGUUGAAGAUUAACAAAAUCAACACAAAAAGGGGGAAAAAACCUUUUACCCGUUGUAUUCAUCAACAGCAAAACGAGCGAGAUCAUCAAAAUCCGUGAUAAUUCCUCCAAAGGUGGGCUUUGCGGCCAUUCUCACAGACAACUGAAUUUUUUUGCUGAGAAAACUCUCUCUUUCUUUUCUUUUGGUGUGUGAAUAAUUGAAGGCAGCUCAAAUGAUUUAUAUAGAGACUGGGGAAAGAGUGAAACUUGCAGGAAUCAUGCUACAUGUAUAGAUUCAAUGACAGAAAAUUAUUUUCAGACAACACUUGGC
rnacentral:lncRNA from 1 species